ensembl:snRNA U6 U6 spliceosomal RNA
GUGCUUACUUCAUUAGCACACAUACUAAAAUUAGAUACAGAGAUUAGCAUGUUCCCUGCACAAGGAUGACAUGCAAAUUUUGAAGUGUUCUAUACAUUA